rnacentral:rRNA from 1 species
GAUGAACGCUGGCGGCGUGCCUAAUACAUGCAAGUCGAGCGAACGGACGAGAAGCUUGCUUCUCUGAUGUUAGCGGCGGACGGGUGAGUAACACGUGGAUAACCUACCUAUAAGACUGGGAUAACUUCGGGAAACCGGAGCUAAUACCGGAUAAUAUUUUGAACCGCAUGGUUCAAAAGUGAAAGACGGUCUUGCUGUCACUUAUAGAUGGAUCCGCGCUGCAUUAGCUAGUUGGUAAGGUAACGGCUUACCAAGGCAACGAUGCAUAGCCGACCUGAGAGGGGUGACGGCCCCCCUUGAACGUACGCACGGCCCCAGCCUCCACGGGAGGGCAGCGGAGGGAAUCUUCCCGAAAGGGGGGAAGCCCUGAGGGAGCAACGCGGGGGGAGUGAUGAGGUUCUGGGAACCGAAAACCUUUUUUAUAGGGAAAAAACAUAUGUGAAAGUAACUGGGAACAUCUGGCGGGACCUAAAACAAAAAGCCCCGCUAAACUCCGC